UACGGAGGGUGCAAGCGUUAUCCGGAUUCACUGGGUUUAAAGGGUGCGUAGGCGGAUAGGUAAGUCAGGGGUGAAAUCUUCGAGCUUAACUCGGAAAUUGCCUUUGAUACUAUCUAUCUUGAAUAUUGUGGAGGUAAGCGGAAUAUGUCAUGUAGCGGUGAAAUGCUUAGAUAUGACAUAGAACACCCAUUGCGAAGGCAGCUUACUACGCAUAUAUUGACGCUGAGGCACGAAAGCGUGGGGAUCAAACAGG
rnacentral:rRNA from 1 species